CAAUAGAUACCCCGGGUAGUCCUAGCCGUAAACGAUGAACACUAGGCGUAGUCGGUAUCGACCCCGGCUGUGCCGUAGCUAACGCAUUAAGUGUUCCGCCUGGGGAGUACGGCCGCAAGGCUAAAACUCAAAGGAAUUGACGGGGGGCCCGCAUAAGCAGCGGAGCGUGUGGUUUAAUUCGUCGCAACGCGAAGAACCUUACCAGGGCUUGACAUGUGGCGGAAAACGGCGGAAACGUCGUCCUCCCGCAAGGGACCGUCAUGCAGGUGUUGCAUGGCUGUCGUCAGCUCGUGUCGUGAGAUGUUGGGUUAAGUCCCGCAACGAGCGCAACCCCCGUGGCAUGUUGUAUCUCUCAUGCCAGACUGCCGAGAGAAACUCGGAGGAAGGUGGGGAUGACGCCAAGUCAGCAUGGCCCUUACGUCCUGGGCUACACACACGCUACAAUGGCCGGUACAACGGGUUGCCAAACCGCGAGGUGGAGCUAAUCCCUUAAAGCCGGUCUCAGUUCGGAUUGCAGGCUGCAACUCGCCUGCA
rnacentral:rRNA from 1 species